GAGUUUGAUCCUGGCUCAGGAUGAACGCUGGCGGCGUGCCUAAUACAUGCAAGUCGAGCGAACCACUUCGGUGGGAAGCGGCGAACGGGUGAGUAACACGUAGGUAAUCUGCCCAUCAGACGGGGACAACGAUUGGAAACGAUUGCUAAUACCGGAUAGGACGAAAGUUUAAAGAUGCUCCUGGCAUCACUGAUGGAUGAGCCUGCGGCGCAUUAGCUAGUUGGUGGGGUAAAGGCCUACCAAGGCGACGAUGCGUAGCCGACCUGAGAGGGUGAACGGCCACACUGGGACUGAGACACGGCCCAGACUCCUACGGGAGGCAGCAGUAGGGAAUCUUCGGCAAUGGGCGAAAGCCUGACCGAGCAACGCCGCGUGAAUGAAGAAGGCCUUCGGGUUGUAAAAUUCUGUUAUAAGGGAAGAAAGGUGAUAGGAGGAAAUGACUAUCAAUUGACGGUACCUUAUGAGAAAGCCACGGCUAACUACGUGCCAGCAGCCGCGGUAAUACGUAGGUGGCAAGCGUUAUCCGGAAUUAUUGGGCGUAAAGAGCGCGCAGGUGGUUAAUUAAGUCUGAUGUGAAAGCCCACGGCUUAACCGUGGAGGGUCAUUGGAAACUGGUUGACUUGAGUGCAGAAGAGGGAAGUGGAAUUCCAUGUGUAGCGGUGAAAUGCGUAAAGAUAUGGAGGA
rnacentral:rRNA from 1 species